rnacentral:lncRNA from 1 species
CACAUAUCAGUAGGGAGGAUUUUAUAUCUAUGACAUGAAGCAAAUCGAGUGAUAUUCCAAAAAUCUACACAGACCAACAUCUUGGGUUGCAAACAAAUGAACUCAAUAGGGAAACAUAUCAUUUAUAAUCUCAAACUUUUGGAGGAAAACAAGAGACGAAUACUGAAAACAGAGGACAACUUCAACAUUUUCUUCACGGGACCAAACCAGAUGACAACAAAGGGAUAAAAGAUAAAUAAGGAAAAGGAUUUUACCUUGUGUUGAGCAACAAACUAGAGCUUUGCCGUCAAGAGAUUUCAACUUCAAACUUAUUCUCG